rnacentral:rRNA from 1 species
ACGCAAUAGAUACCCCCGGUAGUCCAUGCCGUAAACGUUAGGGAACGUAAGGUGUGGGUCGUCAUUCCACGAGAUCCGUGCCGCAGCUAAACGCAUUAAGUUCCCCGCCCUGGGGAGUACGGCCGCAAGGCUAAAAACUCAAAGGAAAUUGACGGGGGCCCGGGCCACAAGCGGCGGAGCAUGCGGAUUAAUUCGAUGCAACGCGAAGAACCUUACCAAGGCUUGACAUACACCGGAAUCACUCAGAGAUGGGUGCGUCUUCGGACUGGUGUACAGGUGGUACAUGGUUGUCGUCAGCUCGUGUCGUGAGAUGUUGGGUUAAGUCCCGCAACGAGCGCAACCCUCGUUCUAUGUUGCCAGCACGUCAUGGUGGGGACUCAUAGGAGACUGCCGGGGUCAACUCGGAGGAAGGUGGGGAUGACGUCAAAUCAUCAUGCCCCCUUAU